UACACUCACUACUGUAAGUCGCUCUGGAUAAGAGCGUCUGCUAAAUGUCUAAAA
rfam:Salmo salar isolate Sally breed double haploid chromosome ssa06, whole genome shotgun sequence.